rnacentral:rRNA from 1 species
AACGAACGCUGGCGGCAUGCCUAACACAUGCAAGUCGAACGAGAUCUUCGGGUCUAGUGGCGCACGGGUACGUAACGCGUGGGAAUCUGCCCUUUGGUUCGGAAUAACAGUUGGAAACGACUGCUAAUACCGGAUGAUGACGAAAGUCCAAAGAUUUAUCGCCAGAGGAUGAGCCCGCGUAGGAUUAGCUAGUUGGUGUGGUAAAGGCGCACCAAGGCGACGAUCCUUAGCUGGUCUGAGAGGAUGAUCAGCCACACUGGGACUGAGACACGGCCAAGACUCCUACGGGAGGCAGCAGUGGGGAAUAUUGGACAAUGGGCGAAAGCCUGAUCCAGCAAGGCCGCGUGGGGGGUGAGGCCUUAGGGUUGUAAAGCUCUUUUACCCGGGAUGAUAAUGACAGUACCGGGAGAAUAAGCUCCGGCUAACUCCGUGCCAGCCGCCGCCGUAA